rnacentral:rRNA from 1 species
AGGCGCGCAUGGAGUGUCGAUAGCCCCGUCUAGCAUGGACCUCAUAUAGGAUCUUAACAUGGAGUCUAGUUGUUUGGUAAUGCAGCUCAAAUGGGUGGUAUGUUCCAUCUAAAGCUAAAUAUCUGCGAGAGACCGAUAGUAAACAAGUACUGUGAGGGAAAGAUGAAAAGAACUUUGAAAAGAGAGUGAAAAAGUACGUGAAAUUGUUGAAAUGGAAGGGUAGGCCGCUAACCAUGUAGAGCCGUGUUUUGGGGGGA